UUAGUUUAUUUAACUAUUUUCAGAUUUAACAUGGUUAAAAGAGUUUGUUAAGGGCUACUGACGGGCGCUGGCCAGAGGUCGAAGACCCCCGGCGGUCCGGUGAAAAACGGGCCCGCCAAAGCAACAUGGUAGUUACACAAAGGGUUGGAGAUCGGGCCUGGAAGACCCUAACUCAGUAAUGAUCCUUCCGCAGGUUCACCUACGGAAA
rnacentral:misc_RNA from 1 species